rnacentral:rRNA from 1 species
GAUGAACGCUGGCGGCGUGCCUAAUACAUGCAAGUCGAGCGAACGGACGAGAAGCUUGCUUCUCUGAUGUUAGCGGCGGACGGGUGAGUAACACGUGGAUACCCUACCUAUAAGACUGGGAUCACUUCGGGAAACCGUAGCUAAUACCGGAUAAUAUUUUGAACCGCAUGGUUCAAAAGUGAAAGACGGUCUUGCUGUCACUUAUAGAUGGAUCCGCGCUGCAUUAGCUAGUUGGUAAGGUAACGGCUUACCAAGGCAACGAUGCAUAGCCGACGUGAGAGAGUGAUCGGCCACACUGGAGCUGAGACGCGGUCCAGACUCCUACGGGAGGCAGCAGUAGGGAAUCGUCCGCAAUGGGCGAAAGCCUGACGGAGCAACGCCGCGUGAGUGAUGAAGGUCUUCGGAUCGUAAAACUCUGUUAUUAGGGAAGAACAUAUGUGUAAGUAACUGUGCACAUCUUGACGGUACCUAAUCAGAAAGCCACGGCUAACUACGUG